rnacentral:lncRNA from 1 species
GGAUGCCCAGGUGCAGCAGAAAGUGGGAUCUGCUGCCCCCAGGACCCCUCUCGUCAUGCCUUGACUGUGACUGGAGGCUGCAGUGGGUAUUUGGGAAAGUAGUUAGCACCAGAAGCCUAGGGAUCAUCUGUACAGUUGGCUUUGGUCCACCACUAGGUCUGGGCACUGGGGAGGGGUGGAGUAGCUCUCCUAGAUUCACUGACCACCUGAAGAUUUCUCGCAGGUGGAUGAAGCUGUAGCAGUUCUACAGGCUCAUCAUGCCAAGAAAGAAGCUGCCCAGAAGGUGGGCGCUGUUGCUGCUGCUACCUCUUAGACAAGGAAAAACCGAUUCAAAAGCCAAAUAACCCCUUAUGGAAUUCAACUCAAGGUUUGAAGACUUCCUAGCUUGUCCUAUGGACCUCAACACCAAGGAUUACAAAUUGCAAAUUUAAUAGGUCAUUUUGUAUCAAAAGGUCAAUUAUGAAGCACCUAGAAUUUUUCAAUUAUACGAAUAUGUUCUUUGGGUUCUGCUGUGGCCCAGACAGUGUUAACUUUUUUUUUAUUGUGGGUUUUGAUUUUUUCCCCCAGAAAUUGGUUUUAUUUGAUGUACCCAAGUCUUACGUUUCCCAAUAAAGAAAAAAAAUCUCCAUAAAA